UUUCCGGUUGAUCCUGCCGCCGGACACUGCUAUCAGGUUUCGGCUAAGCCAUGCGAGUCUAGGGAUCGCAAGAUACCGGCAUACUGCUCAGUAACACGCGGAUAAUCUGCCCCCAGGUGAAGAAUACCCUCGGGAAACUGAGGCUAAUACUUCAUAAUCACUAUAUGCUGGAAUGCUUUGGUGAUGAAAGAAUUUCGCCUGAGGAUGAGUCUGCGGCCUAUCAGGUCGUAUGUGGUGUAAUGGACCACAUAGCCUAAGACGGGUACGGGCCUUGAAAGAGGGAGCCCGGAGAUGGACUCUGAGACAUUAGUCCAGGCCCUACGGGGCGCAGCAGGCGCGAAAACUGUGCAAUGUGCGAAAGCGCGACACGGGAAGCCUGAGUGCCUUAACACAGUUAAGGCUUUUCUCAAGCCUAAAGAGCUUGAGGAAUAAGAGCUGGGUAAGACGGGUGCCAGCCGCCGCGGUAACACCCGCAGCUCGAGUGGUGGUCACUUUUAUUGAGCCUAAAGCGUUUGUAGCCGGAUCCGUAAAUCUCCAGGAAAAUUCCUUCGCUCAACGAAGGAUCUUCUGGAGAGACUGCGGAUCUAGGGACCGGGUGAGGUUGAAUGUACUUCUGGGGUAGGGGUAAAAUCCUGUAAUCCUGGAAGGACGACCGGUGGCGAAGGUGUUCAACUAGAACGGAUCCGACGGUGAGGAACGAGGGCUAGGGGAGCAAACCGGAUUAGAUACCCGGGUAGUCCUAGCUGUAAACACUGCCCACUUGAUGUUGCAUCUCCGUGUAGGGGGUGCAGUGUCGUAGCGAAGGUGUUAAGUGGGCCGCUUGGGGAGUAUGGUCGCAAGGCUGAAACUUAAAGGAAUUGGCGGGGGAGCACCACAACGGGAGGAGCGUGCGGUUUAAUUGGAUUCAACGCCGGG
rnacentral:rRNA from 1 species